rnacentral:rRNA from 2 species
UACGAAGGGAGCUAGCGUUGUUCGGAAUCACUGGGCGUAAAGCGCACGUAGGCGGAUUUGCCAGUCAGGGGUGAAAUCCCGGGGCUCAACCUCGGAACUGCCUUUGAUACAGCAAGUCUUGAGUUCGAGAGAGGUGGGUGGAAUUCCUAGUGUAGAGGUGAAAUUCGUAGAUAUUAGGAAGAACACCGGUGGCGAAGGCGGCCCACUGGCUCGACACUGACGCUGAGGUGCGAAAGCGUGGGGAGCAAACAGG